CACGGACAGAGCACUAAAACCUCGGAGAGAGGCGGAGAAAAUCAGGCUCGCCUCACGUGGGGAGGAGGGAGCUCUGUAGCUGACAGGCUGGGAGGAGAGGAAAGAAAACGAAGGAGGAGUGCUCUGGGCGGGGAGUGGAGAAACAAAAAUCUGGGCGCAUUUAGAGCAUCAGGUCCUGGGGGUGUUGUUCAGCUGCAGUGCACUCUUAAUUCAGGCGGACCCUGCCUGAGUUGAGUUUCUCAGCAGAUUGUCAGUCCCUGUUGGAGCAGACUGCCAUCUAGACCUGACUCCUGAGUUUAAAAUGCAAUGGCCAGAAGACAAGAAAGUAUCUGUGGAAGGCCGUGGACGUGGACGCCAGGACUACUGAUGCUGAUCAUCCUUGGCAUUCAUCAGGGGAGUGGGCAAGGUCAAGGUAGGAGUGGCCAUGCUUUCUGUCUCUGAAAGCCCAGUGUGAUUACCACUUUAUGAUGAGGGUGGAUAGGCUUUUGGCUUCCUGCUUUUGAUAGUUUGUUGUCAUCUUUUUCUGAGAUUUGCUGUAGUGCUUUCUGAAUUGGUUAAAUUGUGUAGCAUUUGGAUGUGAGUUUUUGUACUAAAUUUGAAUCUACUCUUCUGGAGGAUGUUAAUUUGAUGCAGUAGGUAAUGGCUAGGUGUGUUUCUGUACAGCAGAUAAUGGCUUUGUGGGUUUUGAAGCAGUAGAUUCUCGGUAUGUGAGUGUGUUGGUGGGAUUUUACUACAGCAUAACAUUAAGGCUUUUUUAAAAUAUGCUUUCAAGAGAUCUUUUGAAAUGUCCUUUAAUGAGUUCUAUGAUAUGAGAUUUUAAAUCUCCAAAACAUUUUAAAGGACAGGGCGUUUGUCAAAAAUAAAUACAAUAUAUGAAGGUCUUUUAUCAUCUGCCAAGUCUGGUUUGGGUCAGACUAAUGAUGGAGCAGAGAUGUGAAGUUGUGCCAUCUGUGAGUUUGUUUUGAAGAGCAGAAAGUGACCAUAGGUUUUUAUAAUAGAGUUUGAAUGCACUGUGCCACAGCUAUUGCUUCUCAUUGCAUGUUGUGAUAUAUAAUGUGUUAGUUUUACAUAGCUUGAUGCUUAAAUGCAGAUUUAAAUUCAAUAUUUCAUAUGAAAAGCCAGGUGAGUGUGUCACGUUUGUAAUCUUUGAACUUGCAAGGCAAAAUUAUGUUUUCUUUGAGUUUGAGACCAGCCUGAGCUACAUAGUGAGUUUCAUGACAGCUAAUGUUCUCAGAGUGACCUUAUGUCAAAUUAAGAAACAAAAACACCUGGCACUCUUGGAAUAAUUCCCCCUGGAGGAUUAAACACUGUUCUUGUUUUUGUCAGCAUUUGAGAAGAAAUAUCUGAAUAGGAAGAGUAUAAAGAAGUUAAAUAGUUCUGAUAAGAUUGUGUGUGGGGCUGUUCAUGUAAUUCCUAUGGAGUUGAGCUUCCAUAGUUCAGUGUGUGCAUUUAAACAAGCAUAAUUGUUUUGAAAAUCUUCUAAAAACCAUUGUCAGCUCUAUGUAAUCUUAUUAACUAAACUUUUUUGAAAGGAAAACAUCCACUCAAAAAUGCAUACCAUAUUUUGUGAAUAAGUAUAUGUAUUUAUAAAUACAGAUCAAUUUAAAACUAAGUGAGAUAUUUGGUUUUAAAAUAUUCUCUCAUGACAUGAAUUUAUGUUACUAUCUAUUUAACAUUUUCCUUUUCUACUUGGUAGUAAGUAAUCUAGGAAAAUAUUGAUAUUGAACACACACAUAUAUACAUACACAUAUACAUAUGCAUGAGUGUUCAUGUUUUUACUAAAGUUUUAGUAAGAAUAUGUAGUCAGUAUUGACAUCACAUUUCUUCGGUCCAAAAGAGUGGUAUAUUCUUCCAUCGAUGUAUUUGCUCACUAGAAAGCGGUCAGAUAACUCCUUUUCUGUAACAGUGACCCAUGAACAGAAUAGGACGUUCAGAGUCCUCCAGGUUUGGUUGGGGUUAUCACUUGCCCGAGGUAAGGAGUAACUUGUAGGAUACUUAAGAUACUUGAGAAAAAAUAAGAACCUUUGUCACUCCUUUAGACACCCUCCCAUUCUUUCUUCCAUAUUGAUCUACCAGGUUUUCCCUCUGAUGCUCACAAUAUAAACACAUUCCCUGAAACCAAUUCAAAGUUUAGCUUCAGUGAAGCUUCCAAUACAAAUAGGAGUUAAGUGACCAUCUUUCUUUAUAAGAGAAUAAAUUCGAAUAGACAAAUACUUAAAGAGCAAAAUGAGCUAUAGAAGACACAAUGGAAUGCUUUCAUAUUGUAGCUGAGGUUGCUUGGCUUCUGCUCUGGCACUUAUAUUGAGUGACACACAUUUCUUAGGCAUAAGAAGCCAAGCAUUGUAGAUCAAUAAGCUCCAUUAAAUGUUACUUUCUAACUUUUAGAUAUGUAAUUAAACAGAAAUACAGUAUAAAAUAUUUAAAAUUGAAACUUAUAUUACUUAGUACCUUUUAAAAUAAAAGUAUUACUGUUCUAAACUUACAGUAAAUUUCCACGUAAGUUUUCUUUUCCAUAUUAAAUUUGUAAGAACACAGCCACCACUUCCAGGCAUCCUGUCUAGGGAAACAAAGACUGAAUUCUAAAUAAGAAUGUUGGCCCAGAAUCCCCUAACCACAUCAGGGCCGAAAUAAAAUGGAAGUGAGAGUAAAACAGUGGAGGGAAAACAGUUUGGAGUUCUAUGUUGACAUUUUUCUUCUAUCAAAUGAAAUAUCCUUCUAAGGACAUCCAUUGGCUUUUAUGUAAAAUAGCAGCCCCUAAUUUGGACUAUGAGCAUUUGUAAGCUGCUUGUACGGAUUUCAUAUUAGAAAUGAUUUACUUUGGGAAACCAGUCACUAUGUUAAGAGAAAGUAGAAGUGAUGUGUAUUCUAAAGGAAGAUGCACUCUACAAGACAAACACACCAACAAGUAAGAUAAAUAUUAAGAAUUGUUUUGUCUUUGAAGGAUGUGUCAGAAGGUAGUUGUAUAAUUUCCAAGCACUCUGAAACAUUGACUUUUGGAUAAUCCACAUACCAUAGAACUUCCAUGCCAUAGGUGUAGAUGGAACUAACUAUGCAAAAGGCAAACCAGGAAGAACCAGGAAGAGUAAAGAGAGCCCAGUCCAGUCUCUCAGCCUGUUGAGAAGCGUGGAACCGAGGACAGGUAUACUCAGAGGUACAAAAGUUGCCUGCAGACUCAGCAAUACCAUUUCUUUCUUUCCCUAAACACAUGCUCAAGGAAUACUAUGUGCGCAUGCCUUUAAUCCCAGCACUUGGGAGGCAGAUGCAGGUGAAUUUCUGAGUUCGAGGCCAGCCUGGUCUACAGAGUGAGUUCCAGGACAGCCAGGACUAAACAGAGAAACCUUGUCUCAAAAACAAAAUCAAUCAAUCAAACAAACAAACAAAAAACAAAACCCCCCAAACAAACAAACAAACAAAAUGUUGGCAGAAUUCAAUGACUAUGGUGAACAAUGCAAAUAAAGUGAAGGGAAGCAUUUUGGAGCAGGAUAAGUGUUCUGAAAGUACAUGUGCAAUAUUUUACUUUUAAAAGCAAAGCUAAUCAACUAUUAAUAAGCGUUUUCAAAUAUUUCUACCACAAUAUUUUUGUGGUAACUUUGUUUUCUGAUAUCCAGUGAAGGCAUGGUAUUUUUCUAGAACAUAAUAAAAAUACCAGUAAGAAGAAUGGAGACAGCAUGAAUCUGUUUCAGAAAAUGAAUUUUCUCGUUUUCAAACAAGUAUUGGUUUAGUGUUUCUCAAUACUGAUAUUGCAUUUAAAUAUAGUGAUAAAUUUUACAAGUUUUAAAUAUACACAAAAUUCUAAACAGUUUAUUUUCCGUAAUGACUGUUCUUAAAUUCCCACUGGCAGUGAUGGUGCUCGAUGUGAGAAGGUUUAGGAAUUUGAGGAAGCAGAUAAAGUUUGCAUAUGUAGCAAAGCUAAAUACUGAGGACAUUUUUAUAUAAUUCAUUUUCUGCCUUCAUGACCAAGUUAGGUAUUAAACAUCAAACAUAAAAUGUGACAAUAUUUAACAGCCUUAUUCUUCAGUUGUCAUGUUCUGCAUAGUAAAAGUUGAAUUUUAGUGAAGAAGUUGAAUUUUGAAAAAUGUGAUAGUUGGCCAUACCUUUAUAAACUAGACUGCUGUGGUAUCAAUACAUGUAAUUAUAAUAGCGAUCUCUUUGCGUUUUAUUGUCACCUGUUCAGUUUUUCUCUCGAGCAAUCAGGGAGAAAUUGUUCUAAAAGUGCAGAUAAAAAAAUACCUCUUCCUCUCUUCCUCCUCUUCUUUCUCUUCCCCCUCCUCCCCUUUCAUCCAUCUUAAUCUUUCUUAGGGUGGAUGAUUAGCUAUGUUUAUUGUUUUCCUCUCAGUCAAGUAAUUGAAGAGAUUAUAUAAAUAUAUUAAUAACAAAAUAUUAUAUCCAGCCUUAAAUAGAAGGUUUAUGGAAACAACUUGUCAAUGAGAAAGCACACGCUUGUGAUUAAUGAGAUUCAAUACCUUAUGAUCACUGCUGCUUAGGAAAUAUCACUUCACAGACCUUGUCUCAUCUAAGGCUUAUGUUUCUUGAGGUUGCUUGGGAAAGUAUUUUCGUCUUGAAAUUAAAUAUUAUUUUUAGAGAGCUGAACUCAGAUAAUUGGCAGAGAAAUAUUGAAUGAUUAUAGCUCAACGGACAUGGCCUUAAUAUACCAUCUAGAUAAGAAGUGGUGAAAUUGAACUCUGCUAUAUAGCAGAAGCCUUAGUCUUUCUGACACGCCUUAAUAAUAUAAAGAAUUUUACAUUGUAUAGACACGAACACAGGCUCAUGUGGGGUAAAUCACAUUUGAUUUAAUCUAUGAGAGAAUUACGCUACAUAGUAUGUUUUUGUUUGGGAUUCAAAGUCAUUAUACUAAUAAAUGCACAUAUCUCAUAUUUAAAACAGCCAUUUUUACGGAUUACAUACACUGUUCCAUUUUCAUAGCUUCUGAGAUGCAUAAGGUAAACAAAAGAAAUAAAUUUAUAAAUGCAAGUGGAUUUAUUUAAAGACAAAGAAGCCUUUGUCUUCGAAAUUUAGAGUCUUUAAAAAUGGUACUGUGUGAAUUUAUCUUGCAUUGCAUAUUCUGUUCAGACACCCAGAGGUCUGUGUCUAGAAGUGUGCCAACUCUUUUUUAUGCUACCAAACCAAUCCAGGUGGGAUACGUUAUUGUGUCUCUUAAGUAUGACUCAAUUUGGAGAGAAAAACUUUAUUUUUUUCCUGCAAAAAAAAUUUCUUUUCAUAACUUAGGUUGAGCAAGGUUACAUGAAAUAAUUAUAUGAUAUUUCACUCCUGCAUUUCAUCACUGGAGGCAGCAACGAAAACUAAUGCUGAGACAGAACCAAAGUAAUGCUAAGGCAGUUGCUUUCCAUGUGAGAAGAGUUGGGUAAUUUGUAACAUCUGUUCCAACAUUGUUAGGGAGAACCUCAUAAAUAGUAUCUUUCUUAACCUUACUAUCUCUGCACUUAUUUAACUACUUACAUACUACAUUUUCUUAUAUUUAACAUGUUCUUUAAAGUAAGUACCAUCCAAAUACAGCUUCCUAUGCCAUUAAAGUUUAAUUUAUUUAGGAAAAUUAAUCAAAAUUCGUCCAAAGUGACUCUUGGCUCUUAAUAUAAUGUUUAUACAAAUUUGGAGAGUGUAACAGCACUUUAUUUAUAAUAUUUAUUUUGGAUAUUUUGAUUUUAUUCUUUUUUGGCAUAAUAUUUGGUGUGGAGAAUGGUUACGUCUAUUAGAAAUCAGGACCAGUGUCCAUUGAUAUUGAAACUAUCUCCCCCUCCUUCUCUUCCUCCCUCCCUCCCUCUCUUUCCAAAGCUAAAGAAACAGAGAGAAAAAAAUAAAUACUGAAGGGAUCAUAUGUAAAGACAUAGAAAUAAAUCCUUAAAUCCUGAGCUGUAGAUCAUGACAUUUCAAGUGGUGUCUCAUUUAGAGGAGGAUACUAUUAUUGCCUUUUGUUAAACAAAAUAAAAUAAGACAAAACCAAAAAAGAAAACCUGCAUGUUCCUUCCUGAAUACAUAUUUUAUUAAAUCUUAUACUUUCAUACAAUAUAUUCUCCUUAUAUCCAAAUGAACUCUCCUCCUUAACUCUCCCCCAGACCCAUCCCUCUCUAUCACUGCCAACUUCAUGUCCUGUUUUUUGCUUAUUUAAUAACACAUUAACAGCUGCAAUUUGUGCUACUUCACCCUGGUGCUUCUCUCCGCCAUUUUGUAAUGCCACACCCACCUUAACAGAAAGUCAUUAACUCAGUGACUCACCUUUUGUCACUUAUUGAGUUUCUUAAGUAACUCAUGAAUUACAUAGGAAUUUCAAAGUUGCCAACUGAUGUUUCAAGAGACUUAAGAAUCAUCUGGCAACUUUCUUGUAGGAAGUCUGUAAGCGCGGUCAUCAUGCUGAUGUAAGGAGCAUGCAUGUCCCUAUCCAUCAGCAAUAAUCCUUCUAUGUACUGCCCUGCAUUCUCUAAAAUAUCUAUCUUAAAAUUUAAAAAGCAAUGAGAUUAAUAUAUUGUUAAGACAUAAUCUUAUCUGUUCACCAAGUGUAGCUCUGUUAAAUCCUAAAUUGCCUUGGAUUCCUAUGGUUAAUUAUCUGUGUAACUUAGUAAUUAAUAUGUACCUUGGUCUUUACAUUCAUUGUAAAUAUCUUCUUCUUAAGUACUUUUCACAUGGAAAAUUUCUAUUUGGUUUUAAAUUUGUUGUCUUCUGUUUGUCUGGUAUGAGUCAAGAUCUCACUCUAUAUAUAGUGAGAUCAGCUAAAAGCUGAGAACAGUGGCACUUGUGUUAGCAUUGACCUCUCUAUAGGUUCCCCAUCAGAGUUAGAGAGAAUCCAUGUGUGGGGUGCAAGGAAAGACAUGGAUGGCUUCAACUCAACAAAACCAGGCAGCUUCUCCUCGAAGGGAGCUUCUUCCUUUGGCCCUUGAUGCUCUUCAGUGCAGUUGCCACUGUACUGAGUUCUUCAGUCCCAUUUGUGUAGUGGCUUGGUGUUGGCAUAGUUCUUUGUAUGGAACAGUAUUUCUAAAUCUACACUAUAGUGUUAGCUUCUGAGAGUUUCCUUUUUAAAUAAGAAAUAAAUCAACGUGUAAACUAUGUAUAGAUGUAUUUGAUGAAUAUUUAUGAAAUGUUUGCUUUAAGCCAAGAUUUUUUUUUUCUGUGAAGGAAACUGACCAGUAAGAAGUCUGCCUUCAGAUAAUUGAGAACAGGACAAUAAAGACACAUAGAUGCACAGCAAUGAGAUAGUGAAAAUAACCCUGCAGUAGGAACAGGGAGUUUCGAGAGAAUACUUUUUCACUGAAUAGCCAAGAAGAGCCACAUUGAAAAGAUGGCUAUGGGGAGUUGAAGGUCUUGAAGUCCUGAGCCACACAGAACCUUGAGCAGGAUUGUUUCUGGUACUUAGUUUUUAGAGAAAGCAGAGGAACUGAGGAACUAAAAUAGAGGAACACACAAGUGGUGUGGAAUUGUAGGAAGAAGGAGAACCUGUCAAUGGGGAGAAAGGGCAGAGCCUUGUUUAUCUUUCAGGUGGGAAUUUUGAUUUUUGUUUGAAAUAAGGUAAGGAAAUGAUAAGGAUUUUGAGUCUUCCUUUUGAUAACUCAUGUUGAUUUUUCAACGUCUACCACUUAGAUCUUAAUAAUUUUGCUUUAUUGCUCUGAAAUCAGCUAAAACUUGACUAUUAAAACAACAUUAAUUUCUAAUUUAAAUUGAUAAACAUGAGCUUUUAUCUCUCUUUCCCAUUACCAAAUAUCUCAUUUUUAAUUAAUUUGAAAGCUUUUUAGAAUAGAGAGCCAACAUAAAUUUAGCAUAACUUACGAUACAUUCUUCCCCAAAUUUAGGUUUUUAAUUGAAGAUGUUAAUUAGAAAGGUCACUUAUUCCAUUGGAAGAUAUUGAUAAAAAUGCUUUCAAGCUACUAUUGCAUCUGCUAUGGUUUCUGGAACUCCAGUGUAGACACUGGAAAUGAGGUAUUAGCUAUAAGUACAUAAAACAC
rnacentral:lncRNA from 1 species